rnacentral:rRNA from 1 species
CCUACGGGAGGCAGCAGUGGGGAAUAUUGGACAAUGGGCGGAAGCCUGAUCCAGCCAUGCCGCGUGUGUGAAGAAGGCCUUUUGGUUGUAAAGCACUUUAAGCGAGGAGGAGGCUACUAGUACUAAUACUACUGGAUAGUGGACGUUACUCGCAGAAUAAGCACCGGCUAACUCUGUGCCAGCAGCCGCGGUAAUACAGAGGGUGCGAGCGUUAAUCGGAUUUACUGGGCGUAAAGCGUGCGUAGGCGGCUUUUUAAGUCGGAUGUGAAAUCCCCGAGCUUAACUUGGGAAUUGCAUUCGAUACUGGGAAGCUAGAGUAUGGGAGAGGAUGGUAGAAUUCCAGGUGUAGCGGUGAAAUGCGUAGAGAUCUGGAGGAAUACCGAUGGCGAAGGCAGCCAUCUGGCCUAAUACUGACGCUGAGGUACGAAAGCAUGGGGAGCAAACAGGAUUAGAUACCCUGGUAGUCCAUGCCGUAAACGAUGUCUACUAGCCGUUGGGUCCUUUGAGUCUUUAGNGGCGCGNGCGUACGACGAGUAAGUAAGUACCGCCGUUGGGGAGGUACGGUUCGGCGAAGAACGUUAAACGUUACGAAGAGAGUUAGACGGCGUUGGAGACGUUGCCGACGGACGACGACGAGGGAGGUAGG